rnacentral:rRNA from 1 species
AAUGGGCGCAAGCCUGAUGCAGCGACGCCGCGUGGGGGAUGACGGCCUUCGGGUUGUAAACCUCUUUCAGCAGGGACGAAGGGUGACUGACGGUACCUGUAGAAGAAGCACCGGCCAACUACGUGCCAGCAGCCGCGGUAAUACGUAGGGUGCGAGCGUUGUCCGGAAUUACUGGGCGUAAAGAGCUCGUAGGUGGUUUGUCGCGUUGUUCGUGAAAACUCACAGCUUAACUGUGGGCGUGCGGGCGAUACGGGCAGACUGGAGUACUGCAGGGGAGACUGGAAUUCCUGGUGUAGCGGUGGAAUGCGCAGAUAUCAGGAGGAACACCGGUGGCGAAGGCGGGUCUCUGGGCAGUAACUGACGCUGAGGAGCGAAAGCGUGGGGAGCGAA